rnacentral:rRNA from 1 species
UACGUAGGGUGCAAGCGUUAAUCGGAAUUACUGGGCGUAAAGCGUGCGCAGGCGGUUUUGUAAGUCUGAUGUGAAAUCCCCGGGCUCAACCUGGGAAUUGCAUUGGAGACUGCAAGGCUAGAAUCUGGCAGAGGGGGGUAGAAUUCCACGUGAUGUGACAGUGAAAUGCGUAGAGAUGUGGAGGAACACCGAUGGCGAAGGCAGCCCCCUGGGUCAAGAUUGACGCUCAUGCACGAAAGGCGUGGGGAGCAAACG